rnacentral:rRNA from 1 species
AAGGACGGCGAGACGGAGUGAGUAACGCGUGGGAACGUGCCCUUUGGUUCGGAACAACUCCGGGAAACUGGAGCUAAUACCGGAUAAGCCCUUCGGGGGAAAGAUUUAUCGCCAAAGGAUCGGCCCGCGUCUGAUUAGCUAGUUGGUGAGGUAAUGGCUCACCAAGGCGACGAUCAGUAGCUGGUCUGAGAGGAUGAUCAGCCACACUGGGACUGAGACACGGCCCAGACUCCUACGGGAGGCAGCAGUGGGGAAUAUUGGACAAUGGGCGCAAGCCUGAUCCAGCCAUGCCGCGUGAGUGAUGAAGGCCUUAGGGUUGUAAAGCUCUUUUGUCCGGGAAGAUAAUGACUGUACCGGAAGAAUAAGCCCCGGCUAACUUCGUG